GAUCAAAUGAUAGUGUGUACAUCAUAUAUACUGCUAGGAAUGCAUGUGUAAAACAUAUUCAUGUCUUUAUUAUAGGGAGUUGAGAAGAGAAAGAGGAAGAGGAAAGAAAUGCAAUUCAAAAGCGUAUUUCUGCCAGAUGUGGUGGUGCACAACUGUAAUUCCAGCACUUGGGAAGCUGAGGUGGGAAGAUCAUGAGUUCAAGGUGAGAACACUUUGAUACCUCAUUUUUCCUGCAAAGAGCCAGGAACACAAGAUGUUCGAAUUAUGAGCCCAUAUUGCACUUCCGAUUUAAUAUUCAGCCAGAAAAGAUUACAUUGAGACUGAAAGAUUAAGAAAAAAAAAUCUAAGACUUCCUCCAGAAAAUCGGCUUUUGGUGAGUAAACAGAGUCCUACCUAGAAGGAUGUGCUUUCUUUUCUUUAUA
rnacentral:lncRNA from 1 species